rnacentral:sRNA from 1 species
AUGUGUGUGCGAUUGGGUGUGUGUGUGUGUGUGGUGUGUGUGUGGUGUGCGAGAUGAAAGGCUGGAUUUAAACUGAUUAAUCUGCGAGCGAGCGGGCGGCUGAAGUUCGAAUGUAUCCUAUCUGCA